rnacentral:rRNA from 1 species
CAGAAACUCAAAUGAAGUUGACGGGGGCCGGCACAAGCGGUGGAGCAUGUGGUUUAAUUCGAUGAUACGCGAGGAACCUUACCUGGGCUCAAAUGUAUGUUGACGUAUUCUGAAAGGGAUACUUCUUCGGACAAUAUACAAGGUGCUGCAUGGUUGUCGUCAGCUCGUGUCGUGAGAUGUUGGGUUAAGUCCCGCAACGAGCGCAACCCUUGCCUUUAGUUGCCAGCAGUUCGGCUGGGCACUCUAAAGGGACUGCCGGUGUUAAACCGGAGGAAGGUGGGGAUGACGUCAAGUCCUCAUGGCCUUUAUGACCAGGGCUACACACGUACUACAAUGGCCGAUACAAAGGGCAGCGACACUGCGAGGUGAAGCCAAUCCCGUAAAAUCGGUCUCAGUCCGGAUUGGAGUCUGCAACUCGACUCCAUGAAGUUGGAAUCGCUAGUAAUCGUGGAUCAGCAUGCCACGGUGAAUACGUUCCCGGGCCUU